GUUUGUCAGUGUGUGUUUGUGUUUAUGUGUGUAUCUGUCAGUAAAUGUAUGUGUCUGUCAGUGUAUGUCUGAGAGUGUGCGUUUGUUAGUGAGUGUGUGUGUGUGUGUAUGUCAGUGUGUGUCUGUCAGUGAAUGUAUGUCACUGGAUGUGUAUCUGAGAGUGUGUGCUUGCCAGUGAGUUAGUGCAUCAGUGGGUGUCUGUCAGUCAAACUGUGUGUUAGUCUUAAAC